AUUGAACGCUGGCGGCAUGCCUAACACAUGCAAGUCGAGCGUGCGGCGGACGGGUGAGUAAUGUCUGGGCACCUGCCUGAUGGAGGGGGAUAACUACUGGAAACGGUAGCUAAUACCGCAUACCAUCAGAUGUGCCCAGAUGGGAUUGGCUAGUAGGUGGGGUAACGGCUCACCUAGGCGACGAUCCCUACCUGGUCUGAGAGGAUGACCAGCCACACUGGAACAGAGACAAGGGCCGGACUCCAACGGGAGGCAGCAGUGGGAAAUAUGGCACAAUGGGGGCAAGCCUAAUGCGGCCAUGCCGGGUGUGUGAAGAAGGCCUUCGGGUUGUAAAGCACUUUCAGCGGGGAGGCGUUACCCGCAGAAGAAGCACCGGCUAACUCCGUGCCAGCCGCCGCGAUAAUAC
rnacentral:rRNA from 1 species